rnacentral:rRNA from 1 species
AACGAACGCUGGCGGCAUGCCUAACACAUGCAAGUCGAACGAUACCUUCGGAUCUAGUGUCUCACGGUUGCGUAACACGUGGGAAUCUGCCCUUGGGUCCCGAAUAACAGUUGGAAACAACUGCUUAUACCAGAUGAUGACAUACCUCCUGAGAUUUAUCGUCCAAUGAUGACCCCUCGUAAGAUUAACUAGUUGGUGGGCUAAAGGCCUACCAAGGCGACUAUCCUUAUCUGGACUGAAAGGAUGAUCAGCCACACUGUGACUGAGACACCUGCCAGACUCCUACAGCACGCUGCAACGGAGAAUAUUGCACAAUGCGCGAAAGACUGAUCCAUCAAUGACCCGCGAGUGAUGAAGGACUUAUGGAUUGAAAAGCUCUUUUACCCGGGAUGAAUGAUGACAGUAUCCGGGAGAAUUAUCCCCGGAUAACUCCGAGCCAGCAACCGCAAAAAUACCGAUGGGGCUAGCUCUGAUCGGAAUUACUGGGCUUAAAGCGCACCUACGCGGCUUUGUAUAUUAGAGGUGAAAGCCUGGACCUCAUCUCCUGAAUUGCCUUUAAGACUGCGUCGCUUGAUUCCUCUAAAGGUGAGUGGAAUUCCUAGUGCAUAGGAGAAAUUCGAAAAUGUUCAGAAGAACACCAGUGGCGAAGGCGGUUCACUGGACUGGUAUUGACGCUGAGGUGCGAAAGCGGGGGGAGCAAACAGGAUUAAAUACCCUGGUAGCCCCCGCCGUAAACAAUGAUGACUAGCUGUCUGGGCUCAUGGAGCUUAGGUGGCGCAGCUAACGCAUUAAGUUCUCCGCCUGGGGAGUACGGCCGCAAGGUUAAAACUCAAAGAAAUUGACGGGGGCCUGCACAAGCGGUGGAGCAUGUGGUUUAAUUCGAAGCAACGCGCAGAACCUUACCAGCGUUUGACAUCCUCAUUGCGGAUUAGAGAGAUCUUUUCCUUCCGUUCGGCUGGAUGAGUGCCAGGUGCUGCAUGGCUGUCGUCCGCUCGUGUCGUGAGAUGUUGGGUUAAGUCCCGCAACGAGCGCACCCCUCGUCCUUACUUGCCAUCAUUUAGUUGGUCACUCUAAGGAACCCCCCGGUGAUAACCCGGAGGAAGGUGGGGAGGACGUCAAGUCUUCAUGGCCCUUACACGCUGGGCUCCCCACGUGCUCCAAUGGCGACUACAGUGGGCUGCCACCUCGCGAGGGGAGGCUAAUCUCCAAAAGUCGUCUCAGUUCGGAUUGUUGUCUGCAACUCGAGAGCAUGAAGUCGGAAUCGCUAGUAAUCGCGGAUCAGCAUGCCGCGGUGAAUACGUUCCCAGGCCU